UCGAGCGGUAGCACAGAGAGCUUGCUCUCGGGUGACGAGCGGCGGACGGGUGAGUAAUGUCUGGGAAACUGCCUGAUGGAGGGGGAUAACUACUGGAAACGGUAGCUAAUACCGCAUAAUGUCGCAAGACCAAAGUGGGGGACCUUCGGGCCUCAUGCCAUCAGAUGUGCCCAGAUGGGAUUAGCUAGUAGGUGGGGUAACGGCUCACCUAGGCGACGAUCCCUAGCUGGUCUGAGAGGAUGACCAGCCACACUGGAACUGAGACACGGUCCAGACUCCUACGGGAGGCAGCAGUGGGGAAUAUUGCACAAUGGGCGCAAGCCUGAUGCAGCCAUGCCGCGUGUGUGAAGAAGGCCUUCGGGU
rnacentral:rRNA from 1 species